rnacentral:rRNA from 1 species
UAGAGUUUGAUCAUGGCUCAGAACGAACGCUGGCGGCGUGCCUAACACAUGCAAGUCGAGCGCGAAAGGGGGGGCAACCCCCCGAGUAGAGCGGCGCACGGGUGAGUAACGCGUGGGUAACCUACCCCCGGGCGGGGGAUAACCACUCGAAAGGGUGGCUAAUACCGCAUGAGACCACGGGGCCUUCGGGCCCUGGGGCCAAAGGCGGCACCGGCUUGCCGGUGCUGUCACCUGGGGAUGGGCCCGCGUACGAUUAGCUAGUUGGUAGGGUAACGGCCUACCAAGGCUGCGAUCGUUCGCUGGUCUGAGAGGAUGACCAGCCACACUGGAACUGGAACACGGUCCAGACUCCUACGGGAGGCAGCAGUGAGGAAUAUUGCGCAAUGGGGGAAACCCUGACGCAGCAACGCCGCGUGGGUGAAGAAGGCCUUCGGGUCGUAAAGCCCUUUCGGACGGGACGAACGCUUCGCGGUGAUAACCCGCGAAGCCUGACGGUACCGUAAGAAGAAGCACCGGCUAACUCCGUGCCAGCAGCCGCGGUAAU